GCAGCAACCUCGAGUUGAACAACGACGGCACCGCGAGCGAUCGGCCGCUCGAUGUGCCGCGCAACUCGCUGACCCUGCCGUCGCGCAAAAACGUCGAUUUCCGUUACUCGCGCAAGAUCGGACUGUCUGGCCGGAUGGCGGCGGAGGUCAUCGCUGAAGUGAAGAACAUCUUCAACACCGAGCAGGUGUCCAGCGUCAACGCCACGGUCACGACCAACGCCCAGGGCGCGCCCACCGCGGCACUGCCCACGUCGGGCGAUCAGCUCACGCCGACGGGCGGUUACGAGCAGCGUCAACUGCAGAUCGGGUUUAAGUUCAUCUUCUAACCACCAGGGUCACAAAGGAAGCAACCACGAAGGACACGAACCCAUUAAGGUUUCAUUCGUGUUCUUCGUGGUGUGCUCUUCGUGCUCUUCGUGGUUGCGGUUUUUCUAGAGGUUUCGUAAUGCGCCGUAGGUUUCUCGCUUUCAUCGCCAUCUUCGUCGCUGCCGCAUCAGCGCAUUCCACCGCACAGCAUCAGCUGCAACCUGUCGCGGCGCUGAAGGGCGCGCCGGCGCUCGAACUGGCGCUUCGCAAGCUCGACACCGUCGGCAAUUUCAUGAUGACGACGGCGCAUCCUGAUGACGAGAACAACGCGAUGCUGGCUUACUUCUCGCACGGCAAGGGGUUUCGCACGUCGCUCGUGACGGCGACGCAUGGCGAGGGAGGACAGAACGAGAUCGGCCCUGAGCUGUUCGUGCCGCUCGCGGUGCUGCGCACCGAAGAAUUGCUGGCGGCGCAUCGAUUCGACGGCGCCGAGCAGUUUUUCAACCGCGCGAUCGACUUCGGAUUUUCGUUCAGCGUCGAAGAGACGCUCGAGAAGUGGGGCCACGACGAAAUUCUUGGUGAUUUCGUGCGGCACAUCCGCACCAUCCGUCCGGAUGUGGUCGUCGGAUUUGUCUUCGAUGGCGACGGCGGCGGCCAGCAUCACCAGACCUCAUCGCGGUUGACGCUCGAAGCGUUCCGCGCGGCUGCCGACCCGG
rnacentral:misc_RNA from 1 species